rnacentral:rRNA from 1 species
GACGGAGGGGGCAAGCGUUGUCCGGAAUUACUGGGCGUAAAGCGCACGUAGGCGGGACGGUGCGUCGGUGCUGAAAGCGCCAGGCUUAACCUGGCGAGGCGUGCCGAUACGACCGACCUUGAGGCAGACAGAGGGUGGCGGAAUUCCGGGUGUAGUGGUGAAAUGCGUAGAGAUCCGGAGGAACGCCGGUGGCGAAAGCGGCCACCUGGGUCUGACCUGACGCUGAGGUGCGAAAGCGUGGGGAGCAAACCGG